GAGAAAUCUUAAGCAAGUUUUAGGGCUACGGAGUAACCCUGUCUUAACACCAUAAAGAACCGGGCAGUGGUAGCACACGCCUUUAAUCCCAGCACUUGGGAGGCAGAGGCAGGUGGAUUUCUUGAGUUCGAGGCCAGCCGUCAGGAUAUAGAACUCUCAGCUACUUCUACAUCAUGUCUGUGUUUGUCACCAUGCUGAUAACUAAAACUAUAAGCCAGCACCAACUAAAUGCUUUUUAUAUAAAGAGUUGUGGUGUCUCCUCACAGCAAUAGAACAGUGACUAAGGGCUGUAUUUUCAGCCCUGUUUUACAGUAUUUCAAAUAUCUGCCACAAAUGUAACCUCAUGAUUCUGGCAACAAGAGUCCUGUGAGAUAGCCAGAACAAGUGUCAUUCACAUUAUAUAAGCUGCUGAGGCAGCUAAGAGACAUUUGUAGCUUGCUUAAGGUACAACACAAUAGAAUUCUGUUCUUGUAAUUUUUUUGGGGGGGGGUUCUACUAUACUACUUAGAACAUUAUGUUGAUAGCUGAAUGGUUAGCAAAAAGUUCAAUUUCUGGUUCUAAUGAGGCUAGAUGAGCUGAAACCUUGCUGCCAGUCUAC
rnacentral:lncRNA from 1 species